GCUCUACCGCUCCACCAAACCCACCACCACUCUUCCUCCCUUACUGACUGCUUCUCUGAACUCACACAGUGGUUCUCAUCGAACUUUCGAACAGUGAUAAAGAUAAAACCAAAAUCCUAAAUAUACAGUAUGUACCAAGUCCACCCAAUCCAAAAUGACAGUUUUUCUAUUAUAGUUGAUAAUUCCUCUGUUUCCCCCUCAGGUUAAGAGUCUGGGUGUCAUCCUCGACAGCAUACUCGCCUUCCAAGCACACAAACAACAUUACCCGGUGUCAUGAGCCAUCCUGCAGUUCUUCUGUUGGAGCCUGGGUGAUGCUUUGCGCCCUCUCGCUCUCUCCCCCACCUCUCUCUUUCCAGCACCUUCCUCGGCCACGCACCUGUCACCAAUCAGUCCUCGUUACUACCUGCAUUUAAGCCUGCCUGAUCCCGGAAAACCUUGCCAGGGUAUUGAAGCUUCCAAGCGUGUAUCCUCCGUGUCCUUCGUCAAGUGGAUCUCUGCCCCCUCUCCGUCAAGCCAGCGCAUCUCAAGGACCAUCUACUUUUCCCUUUUCAAUAAACUGUUCAUCACAACCUCUCAGCCUCUGCCUGGGUCCAGUCUCCAUCCAAUUUGUGACAAUAGGCUCAUCACUUGCGUGCAUAGAGUCCAUUGUCACACCACUGGGUGCAUCUCCAAGGACACACCCUUAACUGCACCGGAAUGCACACCCUUAACUGCACCGGAAUGCCCAGUUAG